rnacentral:rRNA from 1 species
UACGAAGGGGGCAAGCGUUGUUCGGAUUUACUGGGCGUAAAGCGUACGUAGGCGGAUCAUUAAGUCAGGGGUGAAAGCCCGAGGCUCAACCUCGGAACUGCCUUCGAUACUGCGGGUCUCGAGUCCGGGAGAGGUGAGUGGAAUUCCUAGUGUAGAGGUGAAAUUCGUAGAUAUUAGGAAGAACACCAGUGGCGAAGGCGGCUCACUGGCCCGGUACUGACGCUGAGGCGCGAAAGCGUGGGGAGCAAACAGG